GGGGAUAUAGCUCAGUGGUAGAGCGCUUGCUUCGCAUGUAAGAGGCCGCGGGUUCAAGUCCCGCUAUCUCCA
rfam:Helobdella robusta unplaced genomic scaffold HELROscaffold_13, whole genome shotgun sequence.